rnacentral:rRNA from 1 species
UACGGAGGGGGCGAGCGUUGUCCGAAGUUACUGGGCGUAAAGCGCGCGUAGGCGGGUCAACAAGUCCGCUGUGAAAGCCCGAGGCUUAACCUCGGCGGGUCGGUGGAUACUGUUGGUCUUGAAGGUGCUAGGGGGAGAUGGAAUGACCGGUGUAGCGGUGAAAUGCGUAGAUAUCGGGAGGAACACCAGUGGCGAAGGCGACUACCUGGCCUGUUCUUGACGCUGAGGCGCGAAAGCUAGGGGAGCAAACGGG